UUGUGUGUGUGUCUGUUUUACUAUUACUGGAACUGUACUUGAAAAUGUAAUCUUUCUAGUGAAUCUAGAGUUUACGUGCGUAUAAGACUAACGACUUAAUUUAUGCAAAACCUGCCAGACGAAAGAGGUUAAAACAAUAGAUAACUCUAGGAUUAUGCAUUCACAUAUUGUGUAAAAGAGAGUCAGAAAAUAUCAUACAUGUUCA
rnacentral:lncRNA from 1 species